CUUUUUUGGCCUUUUCAGCAACUUCGCUUUCAGGGGUGCUUUCUCCAAACGUCGGCGUUCUCUUAAUGGAUGGAACUUUUUUGAGCUUUCCAACAACUUCACUUUCAGCUUGUUUAUUAUGAUUCUUAAUUAUGAACUAAGAAGGACGAGGAAUCAUCGGAAAUUUCUUCCUACCUGAGAGCUUUUCAGCAAAUGCAGCUGCUGCCACCGCAGCUGGAUAAUCAAUGCUAUCACUGGAAUCAUAAUCACGACUCAUUGUCCUUAUAAACGGUCUGUGCAACCAGCUAGGAGCCUGGAACCCUCUCAGGGUAGCAAAGACGAUAGAUUGAGGAGCAACACUGAUGGGCAACGUUGGAUCAACGAGCUUAGGCUUCAUUACCGGGAUGUCCAAUGAGGAAGUGAGCUUCAAUGGAGUUCCAUUUAGCAACAAGACAUCACUCUGAAUGUUUCCAUCUUUUGGAGUCAAAUGGUACUCUUCUCUUGGAUGCAUAGAAUCAACACUAUCAGGAUUUGGAUUUAUAUACUCAACAGACGCAACACCUUCAGCGUACAUAUUCAAGUCAUCGACAACAGAGACAUCAAAGGCUUGAUAUGAAGAGUUACCAGAAGCCGUUAACGAAGGUGUGUGAAGUGGUUUUGCCACCACUAUUAUAAGCUCCACCAGAUUCACCAACCCAAGGUCCAGAUGAUGGUGAAAACAACUUAGC